GGGGAUGUAACUCAGUGGUAGAGUACUAGCCUGAGGUACUGGGUUUCAUCCCCA
rnacentral:tRNA from 1 species